rnacentral:tRNA from 1 species
GGUUGUGGCUCAGUGGUAGAGCGCUUGCCUAGCAUGCGUGAGGCACUGGGUUCAAUCUCAGGACCA